AACAUUGUGGACGUUACAGUGUCGCUGUAAAAUUGUGAGUGAAACUGAGACAUUUUAUCCGUGGGAAAACAUAAACGUAAUGUUUCCACCAGUGAUGUCAGCUGAGUGAAGCAACUGCAAACCAAGAAAUGGAUGCAACGGAGUAGUUUGCUGUAAUAGGCUGUACGAGGAGAUGACAACUGACGUGCAUCGUGAGGUCAGUUACAUUGUGACGUAAUGCAAAAGUGUUUCGAUUAGG